UAACCUAAAACCCUGUUAUUCGCCGACCGUGUUUCCAAGAUCGGGAGAAGAAACCUAAUUUCUCUGUUUCAACAUUUCUUUAUAAAAAUGGCAUGGCGUGGUUCACUCUCCCGGACCUUCAUCUCCACCACAAGACCAUCAUCCUUCCGCCCUACAACCACCCUCCCCCGCCACCGUCUAGUCGUCUACCGCCUCUUUCUCCUCCCAGACUCCCUCUCGCCGUGUCUUCAACCCUAGGACUCUGGGAGAAUUGGGUUGUGCCCAAUCUUUGUUGCCGAUGUUCACCGGAGCUCGUUUGAUGUCACAUAUUGCUGUUAACAUGCACGCAUUUUGCAAGUUGUCUCAUGGGUGGAAUGGUGAAGAUGGGUGAUGUUAAGAAGUUUGAAGGAUAUGUGAUGAGAUAAGGCCCUUGAUGACUGAUUUGACUCUUCAAGGCUUGCAAAGACUGUUUUGAGCAAGCUUUAGCGAGGUUUUAUUUAUGUUGUGUUUAGCAAGUGGAAAAGUUAAUAAUGGCUGGUUUUAGUUUUUUUUUUUUUUUUUUUUCAGUUUUUAACUAUUUAUUUAUAUAUUUCUGAUUCCUGUAAUAAUAUUAUAAUAGAAAUAUCAACUUACAACUA